rnacentral:rRNA from 1 species
ACGUAUGGGGCUAGCGUUGUUCGGAAUUAUUGGGCGUAAAGGGUGUCUAGGCGGGGGAUUAAGUUAGGUGUGAAAUCCCUGGGCUUAACCCAGGAACUGCAUCUAAAACUGGUUCUCUUGAGUUCGAGUGAGGAGAGCGGAAUUCCCGGUGUAGCGGUGAAAUGCUUAGAUAUCGGGAAGAACACCAGUGGCGAAGGCGGCUCUCUGGCCUAGAACUGACGCUGAAGCACGAAAGCGUGGGGAGCGAACAG